ACAAAACAAAAAUACUGAUUACUCGUUUUUUGUGAACAAAAAGAUGCUACUGUUUUUGCAUGAAAACGUCAACAAUGUUGUUUUUAUUGGAGUCUGAUGCGUGAAAAUCCUUAGAGUUGUCGUAAAUACAGCUAUURGACAAUGUUGAAGUUAAACUCGACUGGAGGGAAGCUAGAUAUCACCAUCACUGAUGAUGUCAUCUUUGGAUCCAGUAAAAGGCCUCCAGUG